rnacentral:rRNA from 1 species
GUGGGGAAUAUUGGGCAAUGGGGGCAACCCUGACCCAGCGACGCCGCGUGAGGGAAGACGGCCUUCGGGUUGUAAACCUCUUUUGUACGGGAAGAAGGAAGUGACGGUACUGUACGAAUAAGUCCCGGCUAACUACGUGCCAGCAGCCGCGGUAAUACGUAGGGGACGAGCGUUGUCCGGAAUUACUGGGCGUAAAGGGCGCGCAGGCUGUGCUGCAAGUCAGCUGUGAAAUGUAUGGGCUUAACCCGGGCAUGCGGUUGAGACUGCAGUGCUGGAGUGCUGUAGAGGCAAGUGGAAUUCCCAGUGUAGCGGUGAAAUGCGUAGAUAUUGGGAAGAACACCGGUGGCGAAGGCGACUUGCUGGGCAGCAACUGACGCUGAGGCGCGAAAGCCAGGGGAGCAAACGGGAUUAGAUACCCUAGUAGUCC